AGCUCAAGCCUAGGCCGGGGCUUAGUGUUAGAGGAUGGUGGGCGCCAACUGUGAGGCGGCACUGAGAGAGAACCUCUGAGGCAGCAUGAGCCGGGACGGGGCACAGGGGCAGAGGGCCACAUGCCCAGGUGAGCCCCUGGUCUUUGAAGCACUGAUGCUGCUCCAGGCCCUCGGGAAAGGGGGAGCCCAACGGGGAGAAGCGGCAGAAGGAGGCCACCCCAGCACUCGGAGCCACCGGCAGCCGGCAGAACCGUGCAGGAACCCCCCAAUCUGGAGCAUCAGGAAGCACUUCCAAACACAGGAAGAACAAAGCAUCUGAGAAGUGUCCAAGAAAGAGGAGGAAGAAAAACAAGUCACUGAAGAUGGAGGAGAAGUAAAGGGACUCUGGGCACAGUAACCUCCCUGUAAUCAGGCCUCAGGUUGUGUAAUUACACUGUACGGGCAUCUCGAGCCUUUUAAUACCUUGAGCAGCGUGACCACCCUAUAAUCAGGGUCCAGGUCUGUGCUGUUUUAUCCUUUUGACAUUAUGCUCCGUUAGCUGACUAGUGAGAGUGACUGCCCUGUAAUCAGGGUGCAAGUCACCCCCUUCCCUCGCUUUUGAGGGAAUUGAGCUCUUUGAUAACUUGAGCAAUGUGACCGACCUGUAACUAGGGUCCGGGUCUUUGCCGAUUUGCUCGUUUGGCAUUACGCCUUGUUCUGGCCCUGUAGUCGGGAUGACAACCCUGUAAUCAGGGUGGAAGUCAUAUUCCUAUUGCUUCUGGGGGAUACUGAGCUCUUUGGAACCCUGAGCAGUGUGACUCACCUCCCUGUAAUCGGAGUCAGGUCUCUGCCCUCCUGCUGUUUUGGCAUCAUGCUCUGCUGAUAAUCUAGUCAGUGUGACCACCUGUAAUUGGGGUGCAUGUCACACCCAUUCUGUAGUAUGGGAAAUACUUAGCCCUUUCAUACCAUGCGGAGCGUGACCUCCCCAUAAUUUGGGGACAGGUCUCUGCUAUUUUGCUCCCUGGCUUUAUGCACCUAUAUCUUUCUAAUCAGAGUGACCACCCUGUAAUUAGGGUGCAGGUCGAAUCCCUCUCAUUUAUCAGGGAUUAGAGUUAGUUUAGGGCCCUUAGGAGCAUGACUGCCCUGUAAUCAGGGUUCAGGUCUAAAAUUGUCUUCUGUGAUUAUGCUCCUUAAUUCAGCUAGUCAGAGUGAUCACCUUGUAAUCAGGGUGAGAGUUACGUUUCCCUCGCUUAUGGGAGUUACUGAUAUCUUUCUUACUUGAGCCGUGUGACCUCCCUGUAACUAGGGUUCAGGUCUCUGUCCUUUGCUCAUCUGGGAUUGUGUCCUGUUCUUAGCCUGGUCAGUAUGACUGCCCUGUAAUUAGGGUGCAGGCCAUGUGCCUCUUAUUUAGGGAGGACUAAGUUCCCCUUAGUGCUUUGGGCUGAGUGACCACCCUGUAAGUAGGGUUCAGGUCUCCUCCUUUUCUUUUUCUUUGAUGUAUUUUCCAUUAAUGAGUAAGCCCGAAGGACUGCCCUGUAAGAAGGGUUCAGGUCCUUUCCCCUUUGGGUUGUUGGCCUAGUCACUUGGACCCCACCCUGUAAUCAGGGUGCAGGUCUUGUCCCUUUUCCCUUUGGUUUUUUGAGGGGAGGAAGAUUGGUCGAGUUUAACACUGUGGGUCGAGUGACCUGUUGCCAUGAGCUCUCUUUCUGUUCUGGGAAGUCCCCCUUUGUUUUGUAAGGAUGUGUUUGCGAGAGCAUGUGAUACAAGUGGGUGUGCAAGCUUUUUAAUUUUUAGCUAUUUAUUUUUAUUUUUUUAAGUUAAAUCGCUGCAGCGCUUUUUCUUUACUCUUCUCAGAAUUGGAAAAAGAGCUCAAAGUGUAUUAACGUAUUUAUCCUCCUCCUCCCCACAAAAGGGAAGAGUAAGGGCUCUGAUGUCAUCUUUUAGCGCCUUGGACAGUGUGACCGCCCUGUAAACAGGGAUCUGGUCUCUCCCCUUCUGCUCUGUUUAGGUAGAGCUCCUUUUAGUGGGCUGAUGGCAAUGACUGGCCUUUAAGGACAAUUUAGGUCACAUGUCUGUGACUCACAGGUAGUGCAGUAUCCCUUAGUACUUAGGCAGCAUAACCACCCUGUAUCCAGGGUUCAGGUCUCUGCCCUUUAUUCUUUUGCCACCGUUCUACUUCAGCCAGUUGGUAUGAGUUCUGGCCCUGUAAUUAGGGGAGAGUUUGUGUCCCUCUGGCUUCUGGGGGUAUUGAGUUCAGUGGAGCCCUGAGCAGUGUGACCACCCUGUAACUAGGGUCCAGAUCUUUGCUCACUUGCUCGUUUGGCUUUACGUCGUGCAUGUCACAAGUAUCCACAGAAUGGGAAAUAUUGAGCCCUUUGAUACUUUGAGGAGCUUGACCUUUCUGUAAUUCAGGUUACGGUCUCUGCUAUUUGGCUAAUCCCAGUGACCACCCUGUAAUCAGGGUACAGGUUGCAUCUCUCUUUUGAAAUCCUGUGGUUUAGAACCAUGGGCAGCUUGACCUCCCUGUAAUUAAGGUUUGGUCUCCGAGGCCUUUUGGGUCUCUUGGCAUUGUGCUUUCUUCACAGCCUGAGGCGAGUGACCGUCCUGUAAUCAGGGAAUCUGGUCUUGGCCCUCUGGUCUCUUGGCACUAGGCCAAGUGAGCCAACUGGUCUGAAUGAGCACCCUGUAAACAGGGUACAGGUCUCAUCAGACACUAUUUAUGGUGCCCCCAUGAAACUGUGUCCAGAGUCCUGGCCCUUCGCACUGCGCUUCCAACUUGCCUGGAAUUCUGCAGCCAAGUCUCCUGCUUUCUUCCUCACGUACUGUGCUCUUGGAGACCCGACAUCCUGCUCCCGUUGCAGGCAGCUCCAAGCACAAGUGGACAAGAAGGAAGUGUCAGGAAUGUCAAGCAAAGAAGAGGAAAGAGGACAAGUCACUGAAGAUGGAGAAGAAGGAAAAGGACUCUGGGCACAGUAACCUCCCUGUAAUCAGAUCUCAGGUCAUGUAAUUACACUGUACGGGCAUCUCGAGCCUUUUAAUACCUUGAGCAGCGUGACCGCCCUGUAAUCAGGGUCCAGGUCUGUGCUGUUUUCUCCUUUUGACAUUGUGCUCCGUUAGCUGGCUAGUGAGAGUGACUGCCCUGUAAUCAGGGUGCAAGUCACCCCCCCCCUCGCUUUCGAGGGACAUUGAGCUCUUUGGUAACUUGAGCAAUGUGACCGCCCUGUAACUAGGGUCCGGGUCUCUGCCCACUUGCUCGUUUGGCAUUACGCCGUGCUCUGGCCCACUACUCAGGAUGACAACCCUGUAAUCAGGGUGGAAGUCAUAUUCCUAUUGCUUCUGGGGGAUACUGAGCUCUUUGGAACCCUGAGCAGUUUGACUCACCUCCCUGUAAUUCGGAGUCAGGUCUCUGCCCUCUUGCUGUUUUGGCAUCAUGCUCUGCUGAUAAUCUAGUCAGUGUGACCACCUGUAAUUGGGGUGCAUGUCACACCCAUUCUGUAGUAUGGGAAAUACUUAGCCCUUUCAUACCAUGCGGAGCGUGACCUCCCCAUAAUUUGGGGACAGGUCUCUGCUAUUUUGCUCCCUGGCUUUAUGCACCUAUAUCUUUCUAAUCAGAGUGACCACCCUGUAAUUAGGGUGCAGGUCGAAUCCCUCUCAUUUAUCAGGGAUUAGAGUUAGUUUAGGGCCCUUAGGAGCAUGACUGCCCUGUAAUCAGGGUUCAGGUCUAAAAUUGUCUUCUGUGAUUAUGCUCCUUAAUUCAGCUAGUCAGAGUGAUCACCUUGUAAUCAGGGUGAGAGUUACGUUUCCCUCGCUUAUGGGAGUUACUGAUAUCUUUCUUACUUGAGCCGUGUGACCUCCCUGUAACUAGGGUUCAGGUCUCUGUCCUUUGCUCAUCUGGGAUUGUGUCCUGUUCUUAGCCUGGUCAGUAUGACUGCCCUGUAAUUAGGGUGCAGGCCAUGUGCCUCUUAUUUAGGGAGGACUAAGUUCCCCUUAGUGCUUUGGGCUGAGUGACCACCCUGUAAGUAGGGUUCAGGUCUCCUCCUUUUCUUUUUCUUUGAUGUAUUUUCCAUUAAUGAGUAAGCCCGAAGGACUGCCCUGUAAGGAGGGUUCAGGUCCUUUCCCCUUUGGGUUGUUGGCCUAGUCACUUGGACCCCACCCUGUAAUCAGGGUGCAGGUCUUGUCCCUUUUCCCUUUGGUUUUUUGAGGGGAGGAAGAUUGGUCGAGUUUAACACUGUGGGUCGAGUGACCUGUUGCCAUGAGCUCUCUUUCUGUUCUGGGAAGUCCCCCUUUGUUUUGUAAGGAUGUGUUUGCGAGAGCAUGUGAUACAAGUGGGUGUGCAAGCUUUUUAAUUUUUAGCUAUUUAUUUUUAUUUUUUUAAGUUAAAUCGCUGCAGCGCUUUUUCUUUACUCUUCUCAGAAUUGGAAAAAGAGCUCAAAGUGUAUUAACGUAUUUAUCCUCCUCCUCCCCACAAAAGGGAAGAGUAAGGGCUCUGAUGUCAUCUUUUAGCGCCUUGGACAGUGUGACCGCCCUGUAAACAGGGAUCUGGUCUCUCCCCUUCUGCUCUGUUUAGGUAGAGCUCCUUUUAGUGGGCUGAUGGCAAUGACUGGCCUUUAAGGACAAUUUAGGUCACAUGUCUGUGACUCACAGGUAGUGCAGUAUCCCUUAGUACUGGGGCAGCAUAACCACCCUGUAUCCAGGGUUCAGGUCUCUGCCCUUUAUUCUUUUGCCACCGUUCUACUUCAGCCAGUUGGUAUGAGUUCUGGCCCUGUAAUUAGGGGAGAGUUUGUGUCCCUCUGGCUUCUGGGGGUAUUGAGUUCAGUGGAGCCCUGAGCAGUGUGACCACCCUGUAACUAGGGUCCAGAUCUUUGCUCACUUGCUCGUUUGGCUUUACGUCGUGCAUGUCACAAGUAUCCACAGAAUGGGAAAUAUUGAGCCCUUUGAUACUUUGAGGAGCUUGACCUUUCUGUAAUUCAGGUUACGGUCUCUGCUAUUUGGCUAAUCCCAGUGACCACCCUGUAAUCAGGGUACAGGUUGCAUCUCUCUUUUGAAAUCUGGUGGAUUAGAACCAUGGGCAGCUUGACCUCCCUGUAAUUAGGGUUUGGUCUCUGAGGCCCUUUGGGUCUCUUGGCAUUGUGCUUUCCUCACAGCCGGAGGCGAGUGACCGUCCUGUAAUCAGGGAAUCUGGUCUUGGCCCUCUGGUCUCUUGGCACUAGGCCAAGUGAGCCAACUGGUCUGGAUGAGCACCCUGUAAACAGGGUACAGGUCUGAUCAGACACUAUUUAUGGUGCCCCCAUGAAACUGUGUCCAGAGUCCAGGCCCUUCACACCGCGCUUCCAACUUGCCUGGAAUUCUGCAGCCAAGUCUCCUGCUUUCUUCCUCAUGUACUGUGCUCUUGGAGACCCGACAUCAUGCUCACGUUGCAGGCAGCUCCAAGCACAAGUGGACAAGAAGGAAGUGUCAGGAAUGUCAAGCAAAGAAGAGGAAAGAGGACAAGUCACUGAAGAUGGAGAAGAAGGAAAGGGACUCUGGGCACAGUAACCUCCCUGUAAUCAGAUCUCAGGUCAUGUAAUGACACUGUACGGGCAUCUCGAGCCUUUUAAUACCUUGAGCAGCGUGACUGCCCUGUAAGCAGCGUCCAGGUCUGUACUGUUUUGUCCUUUUGACAUUAGGCUCCGUUAGAUGACUAGUGAGAGUGACUGCCCUGUAAUCAGGGUGCAAGUCACCUCUCCCUUGCUUUCGAGGGAAUUGAACUCUUUAGUAACUUUGAGCAUGUGACUGCCCUGUAACUAGGGGUCCAGGUCUGUGCUGUUUUGUCCUUUUGACAUUAUGCUCGGUUAGCUGACUAUUGAGAGUGACUGCCCUGUAAUCAGGGUGCAAGUCACCCCCUUCCCUCGCUUUCGAGGGACAUUGAGCUCUUUGGUAACUUGAGCAAUGUGACCACCCUGUAACUAGGGUCCAGGUCUUUGCCCACUUGCUCGUUUGGCAUUACGCCGUGCUCCGGCCCACUUGUCAGCGUGACAACCCUGUAAUCAGGGUGCAUGUCACAAGUAUCCACAGAAUGGGAAAUAUUGAGCCCUUUGAUACUUUGAGGAGCUUGACCUUUCUGUAAUUCAGGUUACGGUCUCUGCUAUUUGGCUAAUCCCAGUGACCACCCUGUAAUCAGGGUACAGGUUGCAUCUCUCUUUUGAAAUCUUUGGAAUUGGAACCAUUUCAGUAACACGGGCAGUUUGACCUCCCUGUAACUAGGGUUUGGUCUCCGAGGCCCUUUGGGUCUCUUGGCAUUGUGCUUUCCUCACAGCCGGAGGCGAGUGACCGUCCUGUAAUCAGGGAAUCUGGUCUUGGCCCUCUGGUCUCUUGGCACUAGGCCAAGUGAGCCAACUGGUCUGAAUGAGCACCCUGUAAACAGGGUACAGGUCUCAUCAGACACUAUUUAUGGUGCCCCCAUGAAACUGUGUCCAGAGUCCUGGCCCUUCGCACUGCGCUUCCAACUUGCCUGGAAUUCUGCAGCCAAGUCUCCUGCUUUCUUCCUCAUGUACUGUGCUCUUGGAGACCCGACAUCCUGCUCCCGUUGCAGGCAGCUCCAAGCACAAGUGGACAAGAAGGAAGUGUCAGGAAUGUCAAGCAAAGAGGAGGAAGGAGAACAAGUCACUGAAGAUGGAGAAGGAGGAAAGGGACUCUGGGCACAGUAACCUCCCUGUAAUCAGAUCUCAAGUCAUGUAAUGACACUGUAUGGGAAUUUCGAGCCUUUUAAUACUUUGAGCAGCGUGACCGCCCUGUAAGCGGGGUCCAGGUCUGUGCUGUUUUGUUCUUUUGACAUUGGGCUCCGUUAGCUGGCUAGUGAGAGUGACUGACCUGUAACCAGGGUGGAAGUCACCCUCCACUCCUCGCUUUUGAGGGACAUUGUGCUCUUUGUAACUUGAGUAAUGUGACCACCCUGUAACUAGGGUUCAGGUCUUUGCCCACUUGCUCAUAUGGCAUUACGCCGUGCUCCGGCCCACUAGUCAGCUUGACAGCACUGUAAUUAGGGUGCAUGUCUCAAGUAUCUGUAAAAUGGGACAUAUUGUGCCCUUUGGUACUUUGAGGAGCUUGACCUUCCUGUAAUUCAGGUUACGGUCUCUGCUAUUUGGCUAAUCCCAGUGACCACCCUGUAAUCAGGGUACAGGUUGCAUCUCUCUUUUGAAAUCUGGUGGAUUAGAACCAUGGGCAGCUUGACCUCCCUGUAAUUAGGGUUUGGUCUCUGAGGCCCUUUGGGUCUCUUGGCAUUGUGCUUUCUUCACAGCCUGAGGCGAGUGACUGUCCUGUAAUCUGGGAAUCUGGUCUUGGCCCUCUGGUCUCUUGGCACUAGGCCAAGUGAGCCAACUGGUCUGAAUGAGCACCCUGUAAACAGGGUACAGGUCUCAUCAGACACUAUUUAUGGUGCCCCCAUGAAACUGUGUCCAGAGUCCUGGCCCUUCACAUCGCGCUUCCAACUUGCCUGGUAUUCUGCAGCCAAGUCUCCUGCUUUCUUUCUCCCGUACUGUGUCCAGAGUCUUGGCCCUUCACACUACACUUCCAGCUUGCUGGAAUUGUGCAUCCAAGUAUUUUGCCCUGCUUACUUUGAUCUUGGCCACCCGUCAUCCUGCUGCUGUUACUGAAUUUCAAAUGGCAUUGCAAGUCUGCUAUAACUGUCUUGCACACUCUUAAAUCCUCUUAAGAGAAUUGGACAAAACAGAACCAACCAACUUAAAAACAAGAAAAGAGAUGCUAACCACCUGUGAAGAACAAGAAAGGAAACAAAUUCUGAGAGCAAAGUAUAGUUGUGUGAUCUAUUUCAAAGGUUUAUACCAUGUCCAGCACCACAGUAUAUAUAUGCAUUGGAAGGAUAAAUUGAACAAUGUGACUAGUAUCUGUUACCUUUUGAAUGCUGAUCAAUGUUAAUAGACAGUAUAUAACAAACUCUGAAGCUCAGUUACUUGUGUCUUCACAAAACUGAAGAGUGGCAAACAGUUUCCUUCUAUAACCUUUCAAUUCAGUAACUACCUCUGCCACAUGAGAACUGAUAUGUCAUCUUAUUUUAUAAUGAUGUAUGUCCUCUCAAAUUGUCUUUUCUAAUGAGUCCAUAAAGCAUGCUUUGUGCAUCAUACUUUCAUAUUCUGGUAGAAAAGCAGGAUGUAUCUUUUUUAUUUAAUUCAAGAAACUUAAUCUUUACUAGGCUUUCAUGACAUUGCUUGAUGAUUUGGGUUUCUGUUUAGCAAGUAGUCAAACUUACUUUCUUAAAGUCUCUGUUGGCUACAGAAGAAAAGUUAUUUGAAAAUGAUAGAAGAAAACUGAGAUGUUGGGUGCGAGUGGCCACCCUGAAGAGUGUUGGAAGACCUUUUCCAGUAGGCACUCUAUUAAUAUUUCUCCCAGUUCAUAAGAAAGCCCAUUUUUGAUACCAAAAUAGUACCAUAGCUAUGAUGCCAUAUGGAAUUUAACUAAGUUUCUAUCUAUCACCAAUUAGAAAUUGUCAAUAGAACUGGUUAUUUGCAUCUAAAUUGAUUUCAUGUACCUAUGUAACCAAGUAUUUAAAAUGUGUUUUACCAGGUGACUACCCGAUUUUAUGUAAAAUAGUUAUACACAUCUUAGAAGAUGUGCUCCUUUGACUUAAGUGUGUGACUUUUAUAUAGUUGGGCAACUAAUGCUUUAUGUACUUUUUGUUUUUACUAACAAGUUUGUCACUAGGCACCAAGGAAUAAUUGUGAAUCUGUAAUGCAGAUCACACAAGCGCUAUAGGAUCAUAGCUUACUAUUAUUAAAAAUAAAUAAUAAUUUCCUACGGGAAGUACAAAGAUGAAACUGAAGGGAAGGCAUGUGUUUGUAUUCUCCACUCAUCCUCAAUUCCCCCCCCCCAAUUCAAAAAUAGUUCAGGUGGAAAGAUUAACAUUUACUCCAGGUAACACCUACCUUAAUAUUUUAAAACUCUGUAUCUCUCACACAUGCUAAAAACAA